AUGACUAAGUUUUCUUUCAUAUCCAUUCUUGUCCUUUUCUUUAUUUUUUCAGUUGUAACCAUGACAUGUCAAGCAGACAAAUUAUGUAAGACAAUCCGUUAUGGUCCUUCUAGUGUUUGUAUCCUUUGGGAUUGUCAACAAUGGUGCUAUGAGCAGUAUGACGGUAAAGGAGUUUAAUUUGAGAAAAAAAGAGAGAGGAAGCGUGAAAGAGAGGAAGAGAAGAAGUUCCAUUUUGAGCUAACCUCCAUCAUCAUCUCUCGUAUGUUCCAAGACCAAGUUCCUACCUUUGAUUCAUCGUCAUCUACCUCUAUUCAGGCUUCUUCUUCCCUACUCUAA